AGAGUUUGAUCAUGGCUCAGAAUGAACGCUGGCGGCGUGUUUAAGACAUGCAAGUCGCACGGAAUGAAUUCGGUAUUUAUAUUGGAUGAUUUUAGUGGCGCACGGGUGAGUAACACGUGAAUUACAUGCCCUUCAGUGGGGGAUAGCCCGGGGAAACCCGGAUUAAUACCCCAUAGUACCGCAAGGUUAAAGGUGGCUAGCAAUAGCUGUCGCUGAAGGAUUGGUUCGCGCCCUAUCAGCUUGUUGGUGAGGUAACGGCUCACCAAGGCUACGACGGGUAACUGGUCUGAGAGGACGAUCAGUCACACUGGAACUGAGACACGGUCCAGACACCUACGGGUGGCAGCAGUCGAGAAUAAUUCACAAUGGACGCAAGUCUGAUGGUGCAACGCCGCGUGGAGGAUGACGGUCUUAGGAUUGUAAACUCCUGUCAUCUGGGAGAAAGACCUGGCGAUUAAUAGUCGACAGGGUUGAUAGUACCAGAAGAGGAAGGGACGGCUAACUUCGUGACAGCAGCCGCGGUAAUACGAAGGUCCCGAGCGUUAUUCGGAAUCACUGGGCGUAAAGGGAGCGUAGGCGGCGCGGUAAGUCGGAUGUGAAAUCCCGGGGCUCAACCCCGGAACUGCAUCUGAUACUGCCGUGCUAGAGUAAUGGAGGGGUAGCUGGAAUUCUCGGUGUAGCAGUGAAAUGCGUAGAUAUCGAGAGGAACACUCGUGGCGAAAGCGAGCUACUGGACAUUUACUGACGCUGAGGCUCGAAGGCUAGGGGAGCGAAAGGGAUUAGAUACCCCUGUAGUCCUAGCAGUAAACGGUGCACGCUUGGUGUGAGGGAAUCGACCCCCCUUGUGCCGGAGCUAACGCGUUAGGCGUGCCGCC
rnacentral:rRNA from 1 species